rnacentral:lncRNA from 12 species
GUCCAUUCACGGUCCUGAGGCCGGCUCGCCAGGGCCCGGGGAGCCAUCGCUCUCGGCCUGAAUGCCUUUUUUGUUGGGAAACAGUGGACUGUUUCUGAAGACCUGCAUAAAUGACUGAGUAAUUCUCUGCAGUUGCCAGGAAGUCUGAGCCACUUAGCUUCUGGAAGAUGGAGACAAGGCCACUAAUGAACCAAGUCUGUUUUGGUGUCUUGCUGCUGACGGGACCAGGCAUGGAACAGUACUCCUGUCCAGAUGCUGGGCUUCUUGCACUGAUGGAUGCACCCAGUUUUUCCUUUAUCUGAGAAGCGUACGUCCAUGGCACUGCAAUAACAAAUAUUCAGGAAGCGGCAUUUGCUGUGAAAUGUAACAAAGGGAAUUAGCCACAGUAUGUGAACAGUAACUUGAAAUAGCAGGAGCAACAAAGAGAGCUGCGCCUGAUAACGGAAAACUGGUAAUUACAAUAUUAGUGCCCUUUCCACAUCAAGUUUCUAAACUAUAUUCAAAGGUGGCUCAUGAGUCCAUCCUUCCUCCCAUCAAAAUAGAGUAAAAUAAAAUAUAAUAGUGACGAA